CUCCUCCUCCUCCUCCUCCUCCUCCUUGACUUGACUUGACUGUGUACAGUCGACAUGUUGACCACACAUGUAACUGAACACGCACUAUAUGGCAGAUUUUCUUUGUUUGGGAGCCGGCUGCCCUCCUAACGCACAUGUUGAGAUCCUUUUUUAGUAAGGAGAAAUGCAGAUAUCAAAAUACAAUAUUAUCAUCUUGAGCAAAAAUCAAUUAGCAUUUCAUAAGAAUGUAAUGGUGCCUGCCUAUUCAGCAACCCAUCAGCUACAAAGCACACACAUUAAUGUUGGGCACACAGUAUUCUAGCUUAUGGACCAUAACGUGAUUUAAGUCUUAAUCAGGAAAUGCUGUUUUAUGCAUCCUAAUCCACAUCACUAAUGACUGGCGCACAUUAAUUAGGUGGAUAUUUUGUAUACUACAACAGAAAUAACCUGCACAGAUGGCUUGAGCCAGCAGUAAAUGAGCUUGCAAGACUGACUUGCUGUUCACAUGCACUUCUCAUUCUUGACCUAAGCCUAAAAUGUUUAUUUAAGACGCAUGAAAUUUAACUUGAUACAUUGUUGGGAUGUUUUUGUUUUUUUUCCUCAGAAAGAUGGUCAUUGAUGAUUGCUGUAUUGCUUCAAAAAGAGUGAAUACAUUCCAGAUUGUCCCAGUAUUUCAAAGACCGUCUAUGUAAAACGAGCUCUUCAGAAGCACAUCUAAUCUAAUGGCUGCUGUGCUGUAAUGCAUUUUAUUUGACCCAGUGGCAUACCCUAUCAUCAGCAAAGAUUAACUUUGCUUAGCCUUUCUUGUAAUAGAAAAUGUAUUACAUGGAGGGGGCUCCCUUCAUUUUUUUUGGAAAUUAAUGUAACUUUUGUCAACAUUAAUUACGUGUUUUAUGCUAUAGUUUAUAUUGGUCAUGCCUUAAGCUGUAAGGGCAGAAUCCAAAUGGUUUAUUUUUGUUUGUGUUAUUAAGUGUUCGAGUGGGAUGUUAUGAGUCUUUGGACUCUUUAACAUCAAUGCAAUGACGGAGUUGCACAUGCACUAUAAUAAACAAUAAAUUAGCCUAUGCUGCAGUUUGAUCCAAUAGGGAACAUUGUAAAUACACGGUGUACAAUAUUGUGCCUAUUCUGUGAGUUCUAGGGAAUAAGAAUCAAGAAGUGAUGCUAAGUAUUGGUGGCCUUUAGAGAUGAUUUUUUUUAAUGCGUUUUCAAAUGGAUUCAAAUUACACAAUUUGUGUACAAAUAAAGUUGAAUAGAGAAU
ensembl:lncRNA